GUAGUUCAUUUUCUAAUACAGUGUAAGCCAAAUUAUUUCCCUGGGCGCAUGCCUGUACAGAGCGUAGUGAUAAGACUAUACGUAGGGCUGUGUAGAGAAUUGUCACUGUGACCAGACAAGAGCGCAGACCUUCAAAACUUGAUGGUGUAGUUCAUUUUCUAAUACAGUGUAAGCCAAAUUAUUUCCCUGGGCGCAUGCCUGUACAGAGCGUAGUGAUAAGACUAUACGUAGGGCUGUGUAGAGAAUUGUCACUGUGACCAGACAAGAGCGCAGACCUUCAAAACUUGAUGGUGUAGUUCAUUUUCUAAUACAGUGUAAGCCAAAUUAUUUCCCUGGGCGCAUGCCUGUACAGAGCGUAGUGAUAAGACUAUACGUAGGGCUGUGUAGAGAAUUGUCACUGUGACCAGACAAGAGCGCAGACCUUCAAAACUUGAUGGUGUAGUUCAUUUUCUAAUACAGUGUAAGCCAAAUUAUUUCCCUGGGCGCAUGCCUGUACAGAGCGUAGUGAUAAGACUAUACGUAGGGCUGUGUAGAGAAUUGUCACUGUGACCAGACAAGAGCGCAGACCUUCAAAACUUGAUGGUGUAGUUCAUUUUCUAAUACAGUGUAAGCCAAAUUAUUUCCCUGGGCGCAUGCCUGUACAGAGCGUAGUGAUAAGACUAUACGUAGGGCUGUGUAGAGAAUUGUCACUGUGACCAGACAAGAGCGCAGACCUUCAAAACUUGAUGGUGUAGUUCAUUUUCUAAUACAGUGUAAGCCAAAUUAUUUCCCUGGGCGCAUGCCUGUACAGAGCGUAGUGAUAAGACUAUACGUAGGGCUGUGUAGAGAAUUGUCACUGUGACCAGACAAGAGCGCAGACCUUCAAAACUUGAUGGUGUAGUUCAUUUUCUAAUACAGUGUAAGCCAAAUUAUUUCCCUGGGCGCAUGCCUGUACAGAGCGUAGUGAUAAGACUAUACGUAGGGCUGUGUAGAGAAUUGUCACUGUGACCAGACAAGAGCGCAGACCUUCAAAACUUGAUGGUGUAGUUCAUUUUCUAAUACAGUGUAAGCCAAAUUAUUUCCCUGGGCGCAUGCCUGUACAGAGCGUAGUGAUAAGACUAUACGUAGGGCUGUGUAGAGAAUUGUCACUGUGACCAGACAAGAGCGCAGACCUUCAAAACUUGAUGGUGUAGUUCAUUUUCUAAUACAGUGUAAGCCAAAUUAUUUCCCUGGGCGCAUGCCUGUACAGAGCGUAGUGAUAAGACUAUACGUAGGGCUGUGUAGAGAAUUGUCACUGUGACCAGACAAGAGCGCAGACCUUCAAAACUUGAUGGUGUAGUUCAUUUUCUAAUACAGUGUAAGCCAAAUUAUUUCCCUGGGCGCAUGCCUGUACAGAGC